CCUAUCUAUACCCCAUGCCCCCUCCAUACUGACUUUCAGAGUCAUAGAAUUUCACUUAAUGCAUACAAUCCUAUUGCUAAAAUGCAGUGUCCAUCACUCAGCCUAUAAGACUGAGAUAUCCCUAUCUAUACCCCAUACCCCCUCCAUACUGACUUCCAGAGUCAUGGAAUUUCACUUUGCAUACAGUCCUACUUUACUUGUCCAUGGACAAGUAAACAAAGAACGCUUGUCCUUCAUGCUAAUAAAGAUACACCAAUCGAACAAGAGUUUUAUAUCAGAGACUUGCCAUGGAGGUAUCAUCUCAAGUCUCCUUUCCUUUAAGGAAAGAAAACCAUUCUGUCAUUGCUGCAGUAGUCACAGCCCCAAGUUUCUAAGCAGUGUUCAGUCGUCUUUUCUCACGCAUUACCUUGAGUACUGAAUAAUUCUAUCAGAAAUAUUUUAUCCAUUGGAUUAGACCCUAGCUAGUCCAGCCCUGUGUGCAUUUAGCAAAGGGGCAAACACAGGUCUGUUAUCAGACAGUUAAAGUGCUCAGUCCCAAUUCUCAAGGUAUUGGCCAUUAAAGGGGGUAGAGUACUAUACUGUUUGCAUGCUGUCAUGGGUGCUAUUGCCCCAGGUCACAUCUUUCUAACUGAUGGAGAUACAUUUAUUUGCUCAUGAUAUUGUAUACUAGUCUCACAUGCUUUCUUAUUUCAGCCAAAAACCUCUGCACUGGGACAUUUUAUGUGGAUAAUCCUGACUAGGAAUUGAAUCUUUUCUCAAGGUCCUAAUACUUACUACCUUUGCUUUAUGUAAAGAGGGUGCUGAUUACUUAAUGCCUCUUCUACAAUUGUGCCAAAAUUGCAGUUGUUCAAGUCCCCUUCUGUUAGUAACCAAGAUCCCAUACCCUCAUACCCUAAUGGGUGACAAUCAAGGGUGCCAACCAAUAAGACCACUUCUCUGUUCUGGUCUUUCUGCUGUGCUGGGGAAUCAAACCUAGAGUCUUGUGCAGGCUAGUAAAGCACUCUGUCAUAGAGCUACAGCCCCACCGUGUGGUGGUUUGAGAGAACAGUCUCUUAUGUAGCCUGGGCUGGGCAGGCACUCAAUCCUGCAGCCUCUCAGUCCCAGUUAUGGGACUUACAGGCAUUGCCACCUGUAAUGUAUACAUUUGUGCCUGUUGUGUGCGCAGCUGCAUUUGUCCCUCUUCCUAAGCAUUGGAUAAAGAAAUCAAACUAACUCAAGUCAUUUUGUUGGUAAUCAAGAAGACCUUUGGUCUGUUCUGUUUUUAACUUCCAGGUUGGCCUGGAACUUAGUAUAUAGCCCGGGCUAGCCUUGAGCUCAGGAUCUAGCCUGUGUUUAACAAGUGUUGGCAUAUCUGGUUUCUACCACUAUGUCCUGCAUGCAGUCUCUCACAUUGUGAAUGUGCAUAUGUCAUUUCACUGUAGUAAUCUGCAUCUGGUGAAGACCUUUCCUUAUUUGUAUUGCAGUAUUUAAGAUCCUUAACAUAGUAAAUGUGCACAGUGUUAACUGGAUUGUUCAUAUUCUCAUGUCCACAGUUGUGCCUUUUAGAUCAGGACUCCUGUACUUAGCAAAGCAAAGAGGCUCACUAAUAUAAAGCCUCUUUCAUGAGACUAUAGAUUGAAACGAUUCCAAUACGGUCAAUGGUCCUUCAAGGUAAGACUUCUGUCUCUGAUCAUUCGUAUCCUCUUUGCUUUAUGGAAUUAUGUAUGUGCUGUUCACUUGAAACCCCUUCCUCAAACUAUUUAUGUACAUACUGGCAAUUUUAGUAGGAUCAAUUUUACUCUUAACUUUGAAGUACAGAAGUGGUGUUGACCUAAGGUCCCAUUUUGUGGCUUGCUAAUAAUGACUGAUUGUAGUAGGCCUUUUCUGUUCACUACAGAAGGAAACCUGAACAGCGUAAAACUGUAAUGGCCACAAGCAUGUACCUUGCAUAUUAGUGUGCAUUUACUGCACACAUUCCGUUUGGAUAUGAUCCUACUUUCAAACCCUUUUGCAGUACAGCAAGGGUCACUAAUCUUUUGGCUUCUUCAUCUUCCUGGACACUGGAUAAGGCUACCCACUCCUUUCCACUCUUUAAUUUCCAGGACUAUUACUUUAAAGACUUAAUAUUUGCAUAAAGGAUGGGGUUUUUAAUUGAUCACAUGUCCCUUGAACAUAAAUGUACAUAACAGGGACAUGAUCCUUUCAUUUUAAUAAAAAUACUUGGCCAGUUAAUGUGUAAACUUACACUUAUCCACAACCUUAUUACUUUUUGGACCAUUGUAUCUCUUGCACUACUGCAAGUGAUACUGUUUAUCCGCCAAGGUCCCUGCUAGUGGACCAUUAAUAUACAGUGAAUCUCCCUUUGUCUUUGCCAGUAAACAAAGGUCAUACUCCUUCACCUUUUAUUUGCAGUAUAUCAGGAUAUGCUGAUCAACAAGGCUGCAUUCUUUUGGACUGUUAUCGUAUAUUAAAUGUAUGCAUAUGCACUGCCUCCUGCUCUGUGCACUAGAAAAGGGUCCCACUCACUUCCUUAGCACCUUCAACAGGAAGUGAUACUAAGCUCAAGACUUUCAUUUGGAAAGUUCACAUGAACAAUGUCUAAGCACUUCUCUAAGAACUACUGUACCCUCUUCUCCGCUUUAAAGCAGAAAGGGUUGUACGAAGUGCUCUUCAUUUGGACUUGAGUGCAUUAUUGCAGUUAGUUGUCCAUCAUUACCUUUGGAGUCGGAUUUUACAUCCUUGUACUCUUUUGACACCAGAGGCACAUUAAUUAUUUCUGAGCACUUCUCUUGUCAAUAUUAAUCUGUACCCUUACACAUAUGACUGGUACAGCAGCAAAGGUUCUGAAAUGCCUACCUUUGGACUGGGGCUGCUGAGCAGUACUAACUAUUAACAACCUCAGCAUUUGGAUUACUGUGCAAAAAUGGCAAGGGCCUGUGUGCUCUCUUUGCAUACCAUCAAGGCUACUGAGCCCCAGAAUUGCUAAGUUAUGCACAUUUCUAACUAUGAACGUCUGGAAUAUUUUAUCCUCAUAACUCCCCUUCACAUUAUUGCAGAGGUUGCUGAGCCCCCUAACAUACCCGGUACUGUCAAUGAGCACAGGGGCUCUGACGAAUGACUUGCUUUCUUCUUUAAACUUAUUUUGGGACUGUUAAUAGGCACAAUGGCAGUUCUGGAUGGUUUAUUUUCUACUCCAAUUUGAGCAAAUCCCCUCCUCUAGUUUCCCAAUGAUAUGAUAUAAUAAAGUACAGCAAUAUGUACACCCAACAAUGACCCAUAUUUCGACCCUUUUGGCAUGGCUUUAAUAUAUACAAUCCUAAAUAGUCACCAUCUCACACCUUAUAGUGUUCCUUUUGCCCGGCCCCUAGUUUGUCCAUUGACCACUCUUCUGAAUCACUAAUUCUCACAAACCCAUCAUUAAGGAAGAGUUUGUGCACUUUCCCGAUUCCAUCACUCCAUCCCUUUUGCCUCUUUGAACAGUAUUGACUGGGCAAAGCCCUUCUCUUGACUUAAAGUCAACAACACCAGUUUACUCACUUCAUAUGGCUACAGUGUCUCAGUUGCCUUCUCCUUGCUCCCACUGAACAGAGAGACACCUCGAAUUCUUACAUUAUUCUGGGUAAUGUUAAUUACCCCAAACACCCUAUGUGUCAUUAAUAAAUUUUGGUGUAUUUAUACACUGAAUAGCAAAAGCGGGCCAAAACUAGGUGGAUGAGCCUUCAAUCUUGCAUUUCUAAAUUACUCCAAUUCCAACUGCUGGCACAUUCUAGGGCCAGAAACCACUCUUGCCUACCUUUAUUAAUGCUUUAUUGUGCAAAAUAUUGCAGGCAAGUAGCUCAGGGAGUUGGAUUGCCACCUUUUACUUGGGGCUUUCCUUUACAGUAUGAAGUGAAAAUUGUCUUCCUGAGAAGGAAGCUUAGCACUUUUCUCUCCAUUCUUCCUCCAGGAGGGAGCCAACUGUCUGCUUAAGAAACUUUAAGCCCGAUUUUGUAUAUUGCUACUGUACAGGACCAACUGCCAGAAAAGUUAUUGAUAAUUUUAUUCCUUAAGAAAGGCAUUUGGAUUGCAAGGUGGAUUGACUGUGAGAUCAUUAGCUUUUGUGAAGUAAAAAUAACCAUUUGUGUUAUGUUUCUGAAGAGUAAGCAGUGUCUCAGUGUACUGAGGGUGGUGAGUCUGGAAAGCUCACUGCAACUAUUGCAGAAUGUUUAAGACAAGUAUCUUUGCUUGGUCUUUACUACAAGUUUAACAAAACGAAAAAGUCAGUCUUUGUGUGGCCUUUAGUAUGAUUAACUUUUAGGAAGAUGGCCUAAGCCUUCUAAUCUAUAUUUUGUCUGACAUAUUGGUCACCAGUCCCUGCUUAUUUUUAAAAGGUGGCUGUGGAUGGAUUAAAUUCGAGAACAUGUCAAGUCACCUUUGAAAAUCAUAGGCCAUCACAUUUAAUUAAUUCAUUCUAUCCACCAUUAAAUUCUGGCAACAAUUUGAAGUAGCUUGAAAAUUCCUAAAGUGGGAAUUUAUUUUAGAGAUGAUGGAACCUGUUUCCCCACUUUACAUUUUAAAAUAUAUAUGCCAGGAUCUAAUCAUUCCUUUAAAUGUACAUUUCCAAGAGAGAUCUGCCUAGUAAGAAAAGAGCUUUCUCUAGUGCAAAGGGUGUUUUGUAGCCGCCGAGUACUUAAGGUCUUUUUUUGGAGCUAUUGUGUAUGAGUGUAUGUAUGUGUGUACAUGCAUGUUCCUGCGCGUAGUCAUUCAUUCACAUGGUGAUCAGACAACAAUGGGAGCUGGUUCGUCUAUCUUGUGGGUCCUGGAGAUCAAACUCAGAUCAUCAGGCUUGGCAGCAAGUGCCUUUACCCUCCGUGUGCCAUCUUGCCAUCCCGCUGCUGAGUGUUUGAUAUGACAUUGCUGAUGAAAAUGGUCAUCACAACAGCAGUUCUCCCGGCAUUACUGAAAAAUGAUACUAUUUUUCGGAGGAGGAUGUUCAAGUAACUCAUCCAGUGCAGGAUUCAGGCUGAACUACUGCUCCUCAGUUACAUCAGACUCUGGCUGUUUAAGACUACAGGAUGAAUUUGGAGUCUGUUUUGUGGCCCUGCCUCAAGAAGAAGGAUUGCCUGGAUUUAGAGGAGUGAAGAGUGCUGGAGAGAGCCCAAAGGGACAAUCCCUAUGUGAGAUUCAAGGACUGCCAGCAGCCGUUACGGCUACAUUAUUACAUCUCAGCAGAUCUUCUCUUCAAGUCCUGCUACUCUGAACAAAAAGCUUACAGGCCACAGGGAGAAAAAAAUAGAUCUCCCCCCAGAAUUGUGGGCUUGUUGCUUUGCAGUGCUGGCGACCUAUUCCCUUUGACGAUCCCUAGGUGGAGAUGGGGCAUGAGGAUCCUCCAGGGGAAUAGCUCACCACCACUGGGCAACAGGCCUAGUCCAUAUUUCAGUGAGACGCUUUCCUGAACCCAGCAAGGAAGACAAAGGCUCAAAGAAUGCCACCCUACAUCAAAAUAGGAGAAAAGCUCCUGCAAUAGUGGCACUGACCUUCCGAGGAAGCCAUUCUGCUCUAUUUGGUUCUCUCUCCAGAAGUUAGGAGAACUUUGCCAGCUGUUUACAUACUUCAAGAUGCACUGCUACACUACUCAUGCCAUAUAAUACAACAAUGCCAUCUACCAAAUAUUACCCUUCCCCAAAGCAGCACAGAAAACUGGGUCUUCAGCAUGAUCAAGCAAUGUGAACACACAAAAGGAAGGCAGCUUUAUAAAUGACCCGAGGAUCAACAUGCCUGACUGCAGCAUCUUAAAAGCAAUAGAAGGAGUGUGUAUUGUGUUGUGUGUCUAUUUCUUGUUUUAUGUAUCUAUUUCUUCCUUGCUUUGUGUCUAAUUCUUUGUUAUAUCUAUUUCUUCCUUGCUUUGUGUGUCUAUGUCUCCUCCAGUUGUCUAAUUCGUUGUUGCAUCUAUUUCUUCCUUGCUUUUUUGUGUGUCUAUUUCUUCCUUGCUUUGUGUGUCUAUGUCUCCUUGUGUUGUCUAAUUCGUUGUUGCAUCUAUUUCUUCCUUGCUUUGUGUGUCUAUGUCUUCCUUGUUUUGUGUAUCUACUUCUUCCUUGUGUGUCUAAUUCUUUGUUACAUCUAUUUCUUCCUUCCUUUGCAUGUCUCCUUCCUCCCUUUGUGUGUCUUCUGUCUGCAGUGUGUCUUACCUAUUCCCGUGUUUCUCCUACAUGUUCUUUCUUGCAGAGCUUUGAGCUUUGUUUCACUUUCUCUGGUGCCUGUGUGGUCUGCUUUGUCUUUGGUUGCUAUUUUUCUUAGCUCUUCUUUCACUCCUGCCUUUCAUGACUCCCCUUUGGGUCACAUGUUGCAUGCAUCCCUCUCUUUUUCUUGUGCUCACCGCACUUGUUCUUUGUUCGAGUUCUCUUUGUCAGUCCAUUUCAGUUUUCUUUCUGCUGCUUCUAUCCUUGUUUACAUUUCUUUCCUGCCUUUCUUGGGCCACUUUCUCUGUUUUCUUUUGUAUUUGUGUCUCUUUGCUGUUGGUGGAUUUCUUAUCUCAGCAUUAUUCUGUUGCUUUGUGUUUGCUUGUGUUUCUAUCUUCUACUUUCCUCCUUUCUGUUCACUUUGAGCAUUUCAGUCUCUUUACAAGUCUGUGUCUCUCUUGUAUUCUAAAGUAAUCCUUUCUUGGAUAUUUCUUUGUAUGUACAUGUGUGUGUGUGUGUGUGUGUGUUAUGUGUGUCAUGUGUGACAGGGGCUUCAUAGCCCCUUCCCAAUAGGUCCAGAAUGUCACCUGUGGAGCCGUUCCUCACACCAGACUGCCCUGAGAAAUAAUCUAAGACAAAAUACAUCAUUCCGUCCGGUCAGGAUUCAAGUGGCUCUGAAGUGAAGGCCCAAGUAGAAGACAGAAGUUUUGUGACUUGAGAUGUAAAAGGACCAAAAUACACAGAUGGCUCGUCUUGAGCUGGCUGGACAGAAUGCUGACAACCCAAAGAAGAGGAACUGUUUCUACAGGACACCUGUGACUUCUAACAGCGGAGAACUACGUAUGUCAUUAGACACAAAACCUGAGCUAAGUCCAAGCAUAAGACCUAAGGACCCAAUCCUAUAUGGACAGAAUGUUUAAGAGAUAAAGGCCUAUGGCCCAGAACUCUGAAAGGAUAUUUCUAUCCUUCUAUCCCCAAGACCAAGAAGGGAAAUUUGAAGAUGAGACCUGCCCCCCAACCGCAUCAUCCUUUUCCAUUUCUUAUAUUUCUAUUUAAGCUGUCUUCACUUGAGAUGUAAUUUUCAUUGUUGCCAUUGCCCAUAAAGGAAUACGUUUUAGCUGGAUAGUAUUGUGCAAGGGUCUGUUUUAAACUGGGUCUUAGCCAUUUGUUAAAUUGUUGACGUUUUACAACUUCCAUUUCUCUUCACAUCUGCUCCACUGGAGACAGAACCAAAUCCAGCCAGUGUAUAUAGCCUCACUAUUGAAACUCCCCUAGGAAUAAGCAUGCAUACAGAUACUGUAUUGCCAUCCUCCCUACCUCAGCAGCCCUAGGCUGACAAGAAAAGGAAAGCAUCAGGUUGUUAGGGAGAAAACAAUGUCAGGCUAUCUAGAGAAAAUAUAAAUAAAGAGUUGUUCCAGACCAAUGAGAAGAAUUAGACAAGCAAUAUGCAGAUGUGCCAACCCUCUGAGAAGCACCAGCCAGCGUCACCUUCCUUCUUUGGGCUUAGGUGAGCAGGGUAUGGACUUUCUAAUAAUGGUUUGGGGACAAAAUGAGGUCUGAACUCCCUGCUCAUAGUAGUGGCCGAGUAAUUUGGUGCAUUUCACCAAAGGAACUCCUGGGUCUAAUACCUACCUUUAAAAUUAAUGAUGAGAGACUCUGAGGACUAUUUAACGGGCUUAAUCUUUUUCGUGCCUCCCUCUUCUCUGUAAGAGGGAAGUUAAAUGACACGGGAUGAAAAAGUAACAUGUUCAUAGCACAUUGGCAAUCCUACAUGGUUAGUAUCUGAAAGCAUAGAGAUUUUCCUAUAAGGCAUCAGACUGUAAGUACCUGAAGCUUUGUGGGUUCAUGGUCUUAGUUGCAAAUCCUUUUCGAAAGGUAAGAAAAAGGCACACUGGUCCAUUGCCUGUACUUGAUCAAGCCCUGAUAUAAAUGCCAGGGAAUGUCUGAGUAACAUUAAUUUCCUUCCCUGCAUAUUUUCUGUGCUGAAUACUAAGGCUGUGAUGCUUCACUGUGGUCACUCCCAGGUAACAAGAUAUUACCAGGUAACCAAGAAACGUAUGAAUACGUAACCCAUGAAGCCCACUGUAACUUCCAAGUCAGUGCUGAUGAAUGGGUACAUAUUACAUAGUAGCUGAAUUCUACGCUUCUAUGUGCUAUAGGCACAAAGAUUGCUCUAGGAAUAAUGAGUAAAAACAUAUAUAUGAACAUAACGGGGCUUGAAUGAAUAACAGUCCAUAUACUUAAGGCCAAUGUGUUUCUUCUACUGCUUUGGUGAGGCUCAGUAAGUUAUAUUAUACCAGGUAGCAGAAGAGAAAACAUAUGGAAACUGAUUUUAAACUACAAAAUAGGCCACUAAUGCAGGUGAUUAAUUACCCUAUUCUGAUCACCUUCUAAUGUCUGAAGACCCAUGUUCAGCACUGGGAAUGACAAAGGGGGACAUUACCACAGAACUAGAAUUUACAAAAGAAUGCAUUAAAUAAAGCAUUAUACAGCUAUCGAUUGUUCCAUGUAUGCAAAUGAAUGAAUACUAACUACCUCUGAUGUAUCCGAUAUUGUUUUGGGUACAUGAAAAAUUCAUGAGUAACUGCCAUGAAACAAGAAUGUUUGCAUUCCAUACUAUUCAUUCACAAGGAAUGAGCCAAUGCUUAAUUUAAUCAGUCAAAACUUGAGUGAUAAGGGCAUGUUAAUACAAGAACAUUUGCCCAGGUCACAUUAUGGUUGUGGGUACUUUCUUAGUGUAAGACAAGUUUUCUAUAGCAAUAAAGCUGCCUAUAAAAUAGGCAUGGUCUCUAUGAGAUUUUCAUUGUACUUUUUGGCCCACAAUGGGAAGAAGAGUACAGUUAACAAGCUGGGUGUGGUAGCAUGUGCUCUGAGCUCAGGUAACUGAAGCAACAGGACCACUUAAGCCCAGAAAUUGGAGGCUAGCCUGGGAAGACCAUAAGGUCAAUCUCAAACCUGGAGGCUAAAUAUUGUCUGCCAUGUGUAUAUUCUCUUUCAUGGGUACUGGAGAGAUAACACAGACGUACAUUUCAGUGUGUCCACACUUGAGAAUAAUAUGUACAUUGGCAUUUUAUGAACUCGGAGGUACCAUAUAAAUGUAACAAUUUAUUUUCUUACUUGGUAUCAAUUUCCAGGCUUUUAAAAUUCUGCCACAUUUAUUAUACUGUGAAAAUAAAGUAAAUAAGUAGCUGUGGACCACUGAAUAUAUGAAGCAUUCAGCACUUGAUGAGUACAUACUGAAUGGCAGUCAUUUAUUACAAAACAGUGCCCUUGCUAGGCACUGGGAUGCAAAGAGAAUUCUCAUUGUCCUGUGUAUCUAAAGAAAUUAUGCAUAAGAUUAAUUUAUAAUUUGUAAACUGCCAUAUAUAUAUGCAAUAUUUGCCUGGUGUGCAAUGACUUUGCUUUUAUCCCAGGCAUGUACAACAGAUCUGUGUGGAUGGAGACUUUGUGAAGUCUACAGUUCUAUAAAGCCGGGACCUAACUGUUGGCUUUAUCAGUGAACAGUGAUUACUUUCUAAGUUUCAUAAUGGCUGAAACUUAAUCAGAAUGCUUAUCACCUAACACCACCUAAUUUGUGUAAGGCAGUGUGCUAAAUGAUACUUCCCAGCUGGCUUGACUGAGGAGGUGGAAAAGGUUUGAUUAAUGAGAGGUACUUUUUCCAUCCAGUUUCUUAAAUGUUGAAUGCUGCUGCCAGAGAUGAAUUACAAACACCUUGCCAGUAAAGGUGUUUUAUAGGGCCAGAGUCAGGUAAUCCCAGAGCAUGGGUAUCAGGGAACCAAAUGGGAAGAGGCCAGAGCAUCUGAUGGUAUGUGUACUCAGUGUGGUCCAGAACCUCUCAAACUAGAUGUACUGGCUGGAGGGACCAAGCGUGCAGAACACAACACCUAAUGAAACAUUGUAUAUAAAAUAUGCUAACCUAGGUCCUAAAACUAAAAUGUGAGGUGGACCUAGUGUUAGAUCACUGAUCAUAGAGGAGACAUGGUCUCAUAUAGCCCAGGCUGGUUCUAACUGGUUCUAACUGGUUACUGUCACAGCUUCUCAAGUGCUGAGAUUACAGAUGCGCUUACGCAUGCCCAGCCUGUAGAAUAUAUCUGAUUACUGAGUGAAUUAUAUUUUUUAAAGAAUUACGUAUUUUAUGUAUAUGAAUACACUGGCUGUCUUCAGACGCACCAGAAGAGGG